CAAUUCCUUCGGGGCAGGGUGCAAUUCCCGACCGGCGGUGAUCGUGUCACGAGCACGUUAAGCCCGCGAGCCUCCCCAGCUUGUCAGCAAGCGACGGAGUGCAGGAUCUGGUGAGAUUCCAGAGCCGACAGUACAGUCUGGAUGGGAGAAGGAUGAC
rnacentral:ncRNA from 2 species